AUGAGGGAGCACAAACACUGUCUACCUGGUUGCAUAGAGUCUACUGCAUUGAUGACAUAAGAUUGACUACAGUUGCUUUGUGCCCACAUGUGGAGUGAGAUAAUGUCAUGUAGAAACCAGAUGUGACCCACGACCCUGGGAAGAACAGCCUGGAGAGGCAGUGUCUGGAGCAAUUCAACACACAGACUCCCAUCAGCAGGAUUCAAAAGCAAACCAGUAAUGCUGAGAUGUUAUUAUUAAUUUAUACAGCCAGAAG